UAUCUGGUUGAUCCUGCCAGUAGUCAUAUGCUUGUCUCAAAGAUUAAGCCAUGCAUGUCUCAGUAUAAGCUUUUCUACUGCAAAACUGCGAAUGGCUCAUUAAAACAGUUAUAGUUUCCUUGACGGCCACUUAUUACUUGGAUACCUAUGGUAAUUCUAGAGCUAAUACAUGCUUUUCGACCCGACUCUUUACGGGAGGGUUGUGCUUAUUAGAUACCGAACCGACCCAGGCUUGCCUGGAUUUGAGUUGAUUCAUAGUAUUCCAGCGAAUCGCCCUCUGCAGGCGAUGAGUCUUUCAAGUUUCUGACCUAUCAGCUUGACGGUAGGGUAUUGGCCUACCGUGGCGUUGACGGGUAACGGAGAAUUAGGGUUCGAUUCCGGAGAGGGAGCCUGAGAAACGGCUACCACAUCUAAGGAAGGCAGCAGGCGCCGUAAAUUACCCAAUCCUGAUACAGGGAGGUAAGUGACAAGAAAUACCAAUAUAAGGCUUACAUGUCUUGUAAUUGGGAUGAGUAUAAUUUAAACCGCAUUACGAAGUAUCAAUUGGAGGGCAAGUCUGGUGCCACAGCCCGCGGUAAUUCAGCUUCAAUAGCGUAUAUUAAAAUUGGUGCGGUUAAAACGCUCGUAGUUGGAUAUUUGGUGAGGACUGCGGUCCACCCUAGUGGUGGGACUCGGAUGGCCUCGGCAUCUUCUGGGGGAAAGUGGUGGCACUUCAUUGGUGGGACGUGAUCCAAAAUUU
rnacentral:rRNA from 1 species